rnacentral:rRNA from 1 species
GUUAAAAAGCUCGUAGUUGGAUUUCGGGUGUGGGGCGCCGGUCCGCUUCGGUGUGCACUGGCGGCCCAGGCCUUCUUGUCGGGGAUGCGCUCUGGUAUUGAUUUAUCGGACGCAGAGUCGGCGCAGUUACUUUGAAAAAAUUAGAGUGUUCAAAGCAGGCUUUCGCUUGAAUACAUUAGCAUGGAAUAACAUGAUAGGACUCCGAUCCCAUUGUGUUGGUCUUCGGGACUGGAGUAAUGAUUAAGAGGGACAGUUGGGGGCAGUCGUAUUUCAUUGUCAGAGGUGAAAUUCUUGGAUUUAUGAAAGACGAACUUCUGCGAAAGCAUUUGCCAAGGAUGUUUUCAUUAAUCAAGAACGAAAGUUGGGGGCUCGAAGAUGAUUAGAUACCAUCGUAGUCUCAACCAUAAACGAUGCCGACUAGGGAUUGGCGGAUGUUACUUGAUGACUUCGCCAGCACCUUGUGAGAAAUCAAAGUCUUUGGGUUCCGGGGGGAGUAUGGUCGCAAGGCUGAGACUUAAAGGAAUUGACGGAAGGGCACCACCAUGGCGUGGAGCCUGCGGCUUAAUUUGACUCAACACGGGGAAACUUACCAGGUCCAGACACAGUGAUGAUUGACAGAUUGAGAGCUCUUUCUUGAUUCUGUGGGUGGUGGUGCAUGGCCGUUCUUAGUUGGUGGGUUGAUUUGUCUU